rnacentral:tRNA from 1 species
GCCCUCGUAGCCUAGUGGUUAAGGCAACGGUCUCCAAAACCGUCGACGCAGGUUCGAAUCCUGUCGAGGGUG